CAGACCCGCACCACACUUUUAGAAAGGCAAGGGGGUGGCGUGUGGGGGGAGUCCAGCCUAGUUCCUGAGUUUAGGCAAAUGUUUGUUGAAAUAAGUGGAGAUUUCCUGGUUUUCUUUUUCGAGGAAAAAAAAGGAAAGAAACAAAGUUUCUUUAUAGGAUGAGCUCAGGGUGUUUUGCAAUUACCCUUACUUGUGCUUGAGCUCUUUUUUCCCCUUGUUGAGUAGGAACAGACAAUGUUUUCCAUUCCAGUUUCUUCUUACAGUUGCAGAGUGGGUGCCGAUGGGUGCAGUGUUGUGGCUUUUACUGGUGAGCCAAAUAUCACAGCUAGAAUGGAUGGUGGAAGGCAUUAUGGACGUAAGUAAGAGCAGCACUAACAUUUGCCUUUAUAUGUGGACUGAGACGAGAGGGCGGUGAGAGAUUUCUUCUAAAUAGGUUAAUAAUUAAGCUUCUGAGCAUCUGCCAGGCCCGUGAUGUUGUUGUGUUUUGUUUUUUGUUUUUAUUGAAGAAUCCGUUAUGUCACUGUCAUAGCUGAAUAUAUUUAAAGUAUUUAAUUUAUUCUUCCUUUUUUUUUUAAAAACUUGUGCUUGUUUUAGUUAUUUCUAUGAUUAUUAUUCAGCCACUAUUUUUUGUAGAACACCUGUGACUUGUCACACGGACAACAUUUGCUUUUCACACCAUUAGGAGAGGUGUAGACUGACCAGGAGAAGAGAGACUUGACUGUAGGCUGGAAAGUCAAAUCGGAUGAGGCCAGUGGACUUCGGGGAUGGUGCUGAAUAACCGAUGUGUUCGCUGAUGAGGAUUUUGAUUAUUUUCAAAAAUAAAAACAUUUUCAAAUAAUAUUUAUUUUUGUUUCUUUCAGAAAGUCUUGUGUGAACACCUUCUAGUUAUAUUUAGUGACAGUAAUUUGCUCCAGCCUGGAAAAUUUCCUCUUGUUUCUUUCAAACCCUAAUGUUUUUAAAAGAGCAGCAACUUCAUUUUCAUUUCCCCGUCACAACACUAUAUUUAAUCAUUAUAAUUCCUUAGGAAAGCUUAAUCAAAUUAAAAAUAUAAAUAUGUAUGGGAAAAAUACUUUCUAAAAUUUUACAUUCACGUUAUUUUAAUUUAACUGGAUAAUGUAAAAAAUAUAUAAAUUAUUAUUAUCAUUUUACUUACACACUGUAAACAUUUUUUUAAAGCAUGAAGGUUAACAGGUGGAACUUUAAUGUGUGUUUUGUUUUUGUGGCAUUAAACAUAAUGUAAAUAUAAAGCUGAUUACACAGUAUAACGUUGCUUGUUGACUUCAGUCCAACAGGUGGUUCUGAGAAUUUCAAAUAGUAGGUGCUUACUGUCACCAGCCUUUUGAAGUAAUCGAGUUCUUAUAAAGCUUAGUCUGAUUAUAGUCCAUGAUAUUGUUAUUUAGUUUUAUUGUACUUGUAAGUGGAUUCUACUCCCACAAGGUUUUCUCAGCGCUCUGACUUGCAUGUCCAAUAUUAUUAGUUGCUAUGAGUUCAGCCUGCGCAAAUCUGUUAAUGCAUAAGACCAUAAGAGCUUCUUAUGUUCCAAGCCAGGUCAGAGUGAAGACACAUCAGAUUAAUAUUUGAUCAUGCAGAAGGGCCCUUAAUCAGAUUUGCUUAUUCCCUUAGCUGAGUGCUCUGCAGCAAUUAUCAUAAUUGUUGCGCUAAACAUGCUUGUCUUUACGGCUAGCGGUUGGACGUGAGCGUAUGCUGUGAGAGGGGGAUUCCAGUACCAAACCCAAUUAGUGCAGGAUGGAUGGAUGGGCAUGCCGAGGGAGAUGGAGGAUAUAGAGAAGAGGAAGGGGAGGGCCAUGGGCAGGGAUGCUGGUCCAACUCACAGUGACAUAGCCCAGGGCAGCACAGUUAACUCCAGCCACCUGGAGCUCUUCAGGACAGGCUCUCCCCAUGCUGUAAUCUGCCCUCAGCCAUGCCACCAGCGCCUGCUGAUAUGAGGGAAAUUAGAGAUGCACCAGCAAAAUGGCAAUUUCAGUCUACAAGUGUCUAUUCAAUUGCAAAACUCUGUGAUUUUCUGUGCCGAUAGUUUUCAAACUUCAUAGUAUUUUUUUUUCCCACAAAGAGAAGUCAUAUUAAUAUUAAUGCUGAAAGUGUGCAUAAUAAACCAGGGAAAUAUAGACUUUAGUUUGCAUUUGAGGAAAUACCAGCACUCGUCUGCUUAUUAGGACCGAAGAGGCUCAUAGUUCAUUCAGUUACCCGCAUAAGUUUAUGCUGAAUUACUGUAUAUUUAUCCAGAAACAUGAAAACAGAAAAUGUAGAUAUACAGUAACAUUCAUAGAUAUUGCUCUUUUAUUUGGAUUAUCUAUUAAAAUACAUUAAGAACAAUGUGACCAGAUUUCCAGUAACUUUUCUGAGAUAUGUGGUUUAUGCAACACUGAUGGAAGCAACUACAUUGAUUUUCAUGUAAAUAUAUGAAGGAUUUUUUUGUAAUUAAAAUAAUUUGAUGUUUUAUUUUUAAGUAAAAACAAUAAAUUAAAGAUUAAAAAAACAAAAACAAUUUUGAUGACUGUGUUAAGCAUACAACAUAUUUUUGAAUAAUAAGUAUAUGGAACCUACUACCUGAAGCUGAAUGAAAAGUGAUUUGUAAAGGAAUCGAUGCAACUUUGUUAAAUGUUUUACAACAUGUAGUUUUAUAAAACUCCCUGCAUUUAUUUUUGCUUCAAAAUGAAUAUCUCAUAAAAUGAUCACAACAACUUUCAAAGUAUUUACAGAAUAUAUUUCUUUGGUGGUAUUUCUGAGGUUUUGCUGAAUGUGUGAAGAUAAUAACCUUUUCGAUGGAAGACAUUUGUGACUCAAAUCCUGUUCUUGUUUUAAGCAAAACCAAUAAAAAUACCAAAGCAGAA